GUCCUCGCUUCGGCGGCACAUAUACUAAAAUUGGAAUGAUACAGAGAAGAUUAGCAUGGUUCCUGCGCAGGAAUGACACACAAAUUUGUGAAGUGUUCCAUAUUUUU